AGUGGCGGGCGGGGGAGUAACGCGUGGGUAACCUGCCUCAUACAGGGGGAUAACAGUUAGAAAUGACUGCUAAUACCGCAUAAGACCACAGCACCGCAUGGUGCAGGGGUAAAAACUCCGGUGGUAUGAGAUGGACCCGCGUCUGAUUAGGUAGUUGGUGGGGUAACGGCCUACCAAGCCGACGAUCAGUAGCCGACCUGAGAGGGUGACCGGCCACAUUGGGACUGAGACACGGCCCAA
rnacentral:rRNA from 1 species